UUGAACGCAAGUUGCGCCCGAAGCCGUCAGGCCGAGGGCACGUCUGCCUGGGCGUCACG
rnacentral:rRNA from 1 species